rnacentral:rRNA from 1 species
CGGACGGGUGAGUAAUGUCUGGGAAACUGCCGAUGGAGGGGAUAACUACUGGAAACGGUAGCUAAUACCGCAUAACGUCGCAAGACCAAAGAGGGGGACCUUCGGGCCUCUUGCCAUCGGAUGUGCCCAGAUGGGAUUAGCUAGUAGGUGGGGUAACGGCUCACCUAGGCGACGAUCCCAGCUGGUCUGAGAGGAUGACCAGCCACACUGGAACUGAGACACGGUCCAG